GAGCUGCCCUGGGAUAGACUCU
rnacentral:miRNA from 1 species